UACAUUUAGAAGAAAAGCAAAUAACAUAAUCAAUAUACAUAUAUAAAAGAAAAAACCUCUAAUCUCUUCUAUUGUGAUGAAGAUGUCUAUGCUCAAGUUUACUCUCGUUGCCAUUUUCUUGUUGAUUGCCCUUGAUUUGCAAGGUGGGGUAGAAGCAAGAGGGCCAAUAGUUGGUUUUGGAUGCAAAACAGUCCAAGACUGUGUUGCAAAUAAUCCACUAUGUUCUGCAGAAGUUUGCAAACCACCCUACUGGUGUUUCUGUAUAAAUGGACAGUGUGCAUGUCAACCAGAUUCAUUAAGUGCUACAACCCUGAUUGGAAGCUAAGGAAAAGGAAGUGCAAAAACAUUUGAAUAAAGCAAAAAUAGAGAAGUUUGAGAUACCAAUAUCCAGCUCUCUGAUAAUGAUACUUGUAAACCUCUAAUUACAAGUUAUAAUAAGGAUUAUAUGUUUGUAUCCUCGUUAUAAAAAUCAUUAUAAAGAAAGAGAAAUAUAUGCAGUUAUCUUAUUAUUUUC